UUUUGCGGAGUCCUGAUUGCAUUCAUAUCCAGCUGGGAAGUGUCACUCCUAUCCUUACUUGUUGUCCCACUAAUCUUAUUAAUUGGCGCCAGUUAUACAAAAGAAAUGAGUGCAAUUUCAGCCAUGAAAAUGGCAUACCUGUCACAUGCCACAUCAAUGGUAGAAGAGGUAACAAGCUUAUCCAUUUUCUUUGGUGACAACAUGUUAUCAAAGUAUAGGCAGAUCUUACUUACAUUACUGAAUGAUUAUUCAUACUGCACCUCUGCUGCUCCAUGACAGACAAUCUCUCAAAUCAAAACCGUUUUUGCUUUUGUUGGAGAGACUUCAUCAAUCAAGUCGUUCUUAGACUGCAUCGGAAAACAGAUGAACCUAAGCAAGAAAGAAGCAUUUAUAAAGGGUGUUGGAACGGGCAUUUUCCAGACUGUAACUUUCAGUUCAUGGGCUCUUAUUGUGUGGGUGGGAGCUGUUGUUGUAUCAGCUCGGAGAUCAAGUGGCGGAGAUGUCAUAGCUACAGUUAUGAGCAUUCUGUUUGGUGCAAUGUAAGAGCCAAAACAUCAUAUUUUACAAUAGAAUCUACCAUGCUAUGAAGAAAGAGGAAGAAGAAAUCAAAAUACUGUCAGAAAAAAGAUGGUUUUAUUAUCUUUCUUUUAAUUUCAGAGCACUCACAUAUGCUGCACCAGAUAUGCAAAUAUUCAAUCAAGCAAAAGCUGCAGGAAAGGAGAUUUUUCAGAUGAUCGAAAGAAAACCAACAAUCAGUGCUGACUCGAGAGGGAAGACGCUGGAUGUGAUUAAUGGAAACAUCAGUAUAGAGGAUAUACACUUUUCUUACCCAUUGCGGCCCGAAAAGAUGGUUCUUCAAGGGUUUUCUUUGUCCAUUCCAGCAGGAAAAGUCGUGGCACUUGUGGGAAGUAGUGGUUGUGGUAAAAGCACCAUCAUCUCAUUAUUGAUGAGAUUUUAUGAUGCAAAGAAAG
rnacentral:lncRNA from 1 species